AAUCAACGCUGGCGGCGUGCCUCAGACAUGCAAGUCGAACGAGAAGUCCCCUUCGGGGGAUGGAUAGUGGCGCACGGGUGAGUAACACGUGGGUAAUUUACCUUUGGGUGGGGAACAACAGCCGGAAACGGCUGCUAAUACCGCAUAAUGCAGCGGCUCCUCAUGGAGACAGUUGUUAAAGCGGGGGAUCGCAAGACCUCGCGCCUGAAGAGAAGCCCGCGGCAGANAGCUAGUUGGUAAGGUAAUGGCUUACCAAGGCGACGAUCUGUAACCGGCCUGAGAGGGCGGUCGGUCACACUGACACUGACAUACGGGUCAGACUCCUACGGGAGGCAGCAGUCGGG
rnacentral:rRNA from 1 species